GGAAGAGUAGCUAAAAUGGCUUAGCACCCCGCUGUUAACGGGGAGUAUGUCAGUUCGAACCUGACCUCUUCCGCCA
rnacentral:tRNA from 1 species